UACGGAGGAUCCAAGCGUUAUCCGGAAUCAUUGGGUUUAAAGGGUCCGUAGGCGGUUUGGUAAGUCAGUGGUGAAAGCCCAUCGCUCAACGGUGGAACGGCCAUUGAUACUGCUAGACUUGAAUUAUUAGGAAGUAACUAGAAUAUGUAGUGUAGCGGUGAAAUGCUUAGAGAUUACAUGGAAUACCAAUUGCGAAGGCAGGUUACUACGUAAUGGAUUGACGCUGAUGGACGAAAGCGUGGGUAGCGAACAGG
rnacentral:rRNA from 1 species